AGUGAACGCUGGCGGUAGGCCUAACACAUGCAAGUCGAACGGCAGCACAGUAAGAGCUUGCUCUUACGGGUGGCGAGUGGCGGACGGGUGAGGAAUACAUCGGAAUCUACUUUUUCGUGGGGGAUAACGUAGGGAAACUUACGCUAAUACCGCAUACGACCUACGGGUGAAAGCAGGGGAUCUUCGGACCUUGCGCGAUUGAAUGAGCCGAUGUCGGAUUAGCUAGUUGGCGAGGUAAAGGCCCACCAAGGCGACGAUCCGUAGCUGGUCUGAGAGGAUGAUCAGCCACACUGGAACUGAGACACGGUCCAGACUCCUACGGGAGGCAGCAGUGGGGAAUAUUGGACAAUGGGCGCAAGCCUGAUCCAGCCAUACCGCGUGGGUGAAGAAGGCCUUCGGGUUGUAAAACCCUUUUGUUGGGAAAGAAAAGCAGCAGGUUAAUACCCCGCUGUUCUGACGGUACCCAAAGAAUAAGCACCGGCUAACUUCGUG
rnacentral:rRNA from 1 species